ACUCAAAUGAAUUGACGGGGGCUCACACAAGCGGUGGAGCAUGUGGCUUAAUUCGAAGCAACGCGAAGAACCUUACCCGGGUUUGACAUGCAUGGAUGUUCUCCGGCGAUGAGUUGGAGAAUUACCCGCAAGGGUGAAACAUGCACAGGUGUUGCACGGCUGUCGUCAGCUCGUGCUGUGAAGUGUCGGGUUAAGUCCCUUAACGAGCGAAACCCUUGCCGUUAGUUACGAACGGUUAAAGCCGAGGACUCUAGCGGGACUGCCGGCGUUAAGCCGGAGGAAGGUGGGGACGACGUCAAGUCAUCGUGGCCCUUAUGCCCGGGGAUGCACACGUGCUACAAUGGCGACUACAAAGGGCUGCAAGACCGCAAGGUGGAGCAAAUCCCAAAAAGGUCGCCCCAGUUCGGAUUGGAGGCUGCAAUUCGCCUCCAUGAAGUUGGAAUCGCUAGUAAUCGCGCAUCAGCUACGGCGCGGUGAAUGUGUUCCUGAGCCUUGUACACACCGCCCGU
rnacentral:rRNA from 1 species